rnacentral:rRNA from 1 species
GGGUUGUGAGGUUAAGCGACUAAGCGUACACGGUGGAUGCCCUGGCAGUCAGAGGCGAUGAAGGGCGUGCUAAUCUGCGAUAAGCGCCGGUAAGGUGAUAUGAACCGUUAUAACCGGCGAUACCCGAAUGGGGAAACCCAGUGUGAUUCGUCACACUAUCAUUAACUGAAUCCAUAGGUUAAUGAGGCGAACCGGGGGAACUGAAACAUCUAAGUACCCCGAGGAAAAGAAAUCAACCGAGAUUCCCCCAGUAGCGGCGAGCGAACGGGGAGGAGCCCAGAGCCUGAAUCAGCAUGUGUGUUAGUGGAAGCGUCUGGAAAGGCGCGCGAUACAGGGUGACAGCCCCGUACACAAAAGCGCAUGUGCUGUGAGCUCGAUGAGUAGGGCGGGACACGUGGUAUCCUGUCUGAAUAUGGGGGGACCAUCCUCCAAGGCUAAAUACUCCUGACUGACCGAUAGUGAACCAGUACCGUGAGGGAAAGGCGAAAAGAACCCCGGCGAGGGGAGUGAAAAAGAACCUGAAACCGUGUACGUACAAGCAGUGGGAGCCCCACCACUAAGCCAGUGGUGAACUCCACAUCCGCAUCCUUUGCUGAGGAUACGGUUAACGGAGCGAAAGCGACGUUCAACCGCAAAACAAGCAGAGGGGGCUUAGUGGUGGGGUGACUGCGUACCUUUUGUAUAAUGGGUCAGCGACUUAUAUUCUGUAGCAAGGUUAACCGAAUAGGGGAGCCGGAGGGAAACCGAGUCUUAAUUGGGCGUUAAGUUGCAGGGUAUAGACCCGAAACCCGGUGAUCUAGCCAUGGGCAGGUUGAAGGUUGGGUAACACUAACUGGAGGACCGAACCGACUAAUGUUGAAAAAUUAGCGGAUGACCUGUGGCUGGGGGUGAAAGGCCAAUCAAACCGGGAGAUAGCUGGUUCUCCCCGAAAGCUAUUUAGGUAGCGCCUCGUGAAUUCAUCUCCGGGGUAGAGCACUGUUUCGGCUAGGCGCCACCCCGGCUUACCAACCCGAUGCAAACUGCGAAUACCGGAGAAUGUUAUCACGGGAGACACACGGCGGGUGCUAACGUCCGUCGUGAAGAGGGAAACAACCCAGACCGCCAGCUAAGGUCCCAAAGUCAUGGUUAAGUGGGAAACGAUGUGGGAAGGCCCAGACAGCCAGGAUGUUGGCUUAGAAGCAGCCAUCAUUUAAAGAAAGCGUAAUAGCUCACUGGUCGAGUCGGCCUGCGCGGAAGAUGUAACGGGGCUAAACCAUGCACCGAAGCUGCGGCAGCGAACGUAUCACCCAAGACAACUUUACGGAGUUGACGAUUGACGGAGCGAAGCGACGUCAAAGCGUUCAUUAAAGUCGAGUUGGCUUAGGGAUACGUUCGUUGGGUAGGGGAGCGUUCUGUAAGCCUGUGAAGGUGUGUCGUGAGGCAUGCUGGAGGUAUCAGAAGUGCGAAUGCUGACAUAAGUAACGAUAAAGCGGGUGAAAAGCCCGCUGGCCCGGAAGACCAAGGGUUCCUGUCCAACAUUAAUCGGGGCAGGGUGAGUCGACCCCUAAGGCGAGGCCGAAAGGCGUAGUCGAUGGGAAACGGGUUAAUAUUCCCGUACUUGGUGUUACUGCGAAGGGGGACGGAGAAGGCUAUGUUGGCCGGGCGACGGUUGUCCCGGUUUAAGCGUGUAGGUGUGUGUUCCGGUAAAUCCGGUUCACUUUAACACUGAGGCGUGACGACGAGGCACUACGGUGCUGAAGCAACAAAUGCCCUGCUUCCGGAAAAGCCUCUAAGCAUCAGGUAACAUCAAAUCGUACCCCAAACCGACACAGGUGGUCAGGUAGAGAAUACCAAGGCGCUUGAGAGAACUCGGGUGAAGGAACUAGGCAAAAUGGUGCCGUAACUUCGGGAGAAGGCACGCUGACACGUAGGUGAAGUGAUUUACUCAUGGAGCUGAAGUCAGUCGAAGAUACCAGCUGGCUGCAACUGUUUAUUAAAAACACAGCACUGUGCAAACACGAAAGUGGACGUAUACGGUGUGACGCCUGCCCGGUGCCGGAAGGUUAAUUGAUGGGGUCAGCGCAAGCGAAGCUCCUGAUCGAAGCCCCGGUAAACGGCGGCCGUAACUAUAACGGUCCUAAGGUAGCGAAAUUCCUUGUCGGGUAAGUUCCGACCUGCACGAAUGGCGUAAUGAUGGCCAGGCUGUCUCCACCCGAGACUCAGUGAAAUUGAACUCGCUGUGAAGAUGCAGUGUACCCGCGGCAAGACGGAAAGACCCCGUGAACCUUUACUAUAGCUUGACACUGAACAUUGAGCCUUGAUGUGUAGGAUAGGUGGGAGGCUUUGAAGUGUGGACGCCAGUCUGCAUGGAGCCGACCUUGAAAUACCACCCUUUAAUGUUUGAUGUUCUAACGUGGACCCGUAAUCCGGGUUGCGGACAGUGUCUGGUGGGUAGUUUGACUGGGGCGGUCUCCUCCUAAAGAGUAACGGAGGAGCACGAAGGUUGGCUAAUCCUGGUCGGACAUCAGGAGGUUAGUGCAAUGGCAUAAGCCAGCUUGACUGCGAGCGUGACGGCGCGAGCAGGUGCGAAAGCAGGUCAUAGUGAUCCGGUGGCUCUGAAUGGAAGGGCCAUCGCUCAACGGAUAAAAGGUACUCCGGGGAUAACAGGCUGAUACCGCCCAAGAGUUCAUAUCGACGGCGGUGUUUGGCACCUCGAUGUCGGCUCAUCACAUCCUGGGGCUGAAGUAGGUCCCAAGGGUAUGGCUGUUCGCCAUUUAAAGUGGUACGCGAGCUGGGUUUAGAACGUCGUGAGACAGUUCGGUCCCUAUCUGCCGUGGGCGCUGGAGAACUGAGGGGGGCUGCUCCUAGUACGAGAGGACCGGAGUGGACGCAUCACUGGUGUUCGGGUUGUCAUGCCAAUGGCACUGCCCGGUAGCUAAAUGCGGAAGAGAUAAGUGCUGAAAGCAUCUAAGCACGAAACUUGCCCCGAGAUGAGUUCUCCCUGAGACUUAGAGUCUCCUGAAGGAACGUUGAAGACGACGACGUUGAUAGGCCGGGUGUGUAAGCGCAGCGAUGCGUUGAGCUAACCGGUACUAAUGAACCGUGAGGCUUAACCUUACAACGCCGAAG